rnacentral:rRNA from 1 species
CCUACGGGGGGCUGCAGUGAGGAAUAUUGGUCAAUGGACGAGAGUCUGAACCAGCCAAGUAGCGUGAAGGAUGACUGCCCUAUGGGUUGUAAACUUCUUUUAUAUGGGAAUAAAACGUUCCACGUGUGGGAUUUUGUAUGUACCAUAUGAAUAAGGAUCGGCUAACUCCGUGCCAGCAGCCGCGGUAAUACGGAGGAUCCGAGCGUUAUCCGGUUUUAUUGGGUUUAAAGGGAGCGUAGGUGGAUUGUUAAGUCAGUUGUGAAAGUUUGCGGCUCAACCGUAAAAUUGCAGUUGAAACUGGCAGUCUUGAGUACAGUAGAGGUGGGCGGAAUUCGUGGUGUAGCGGUGAAAUGCUUAGAUAUCACGAAGAACUCCGAUUGCGAAGGCAGUUCACUGGACUGCAACUGACACUGAGGCUCGAAAGUGUGGGUAUCAAACAGGAUUAGAGACCCUGGUAGUC